CUUUGGGAGGCCGAGGUGGGCAGAUCACCUAAGGCCAGGAGUUCGAGACCAGCCUGGCCAACGUGGCAAAACCCCGUCUCUACUAAAAAUACAAAAAUUAGCCGGGCAUGGUGGUGUGUGCCUGGAAUCCCAGCUACCCAGGAGGCUUAGGCAGGAGAAAUGCUGGAACCCGGGAGGCAGAGGCUGCAGUGAGCUGAGAUCAUGCCACUACUGCACUCCAGCCUGGGUGACAGAGCAAGACUCCCUCUAAAAAAAGAAAAAAAGAAAAGAAAAGAAAAGAAAAUGAUAUAUCCAUGAUGAAUUAAGAUGGAGUGGAACCCACUGAUGGGAAAGCCACAGAAGGUACCAGUUAUCCACUCACCUACUUAGGUGUCUCCACUAGAAUUCUCAGCACGUUUUUGCAGAACCUGGGCAACAAGAGCGAAACCCCAUCUCAAAACAACAACAACAACAACAACAGGACAACAGAGAUGGACGACGGAUCGGGAAAGCCAACCAGACAGUGUGAGGCCAGGACAGAAAGAGGCACAGGGAGCUCUGCUCAGUUUCGCUACAGGGGAUCUCUCAGGCUCACAAUGGGCCAGUCCUCUAUGGAAGUUCUGGCCUCAUCAUGAUCCUUCUUUCAUCUCACUCCCCAUGCCCUUCCUCUGUCCCUCCUCCCACUGCCAUUUAUUUAUUUAAGUGAAAAAGUACCAAUCACCCCCAUAUGCAUAAAAUACUCAUCCAUGUACCCAUUUCUUAAAAUUGAUCAUUGUUAACAUUUGGUAUAAUUUGCUUUAUUUAUUUUUAAUGAAAGAAAUACAACUUUACAGAAAAUGCUUUAUUUUUCUCUUUGUUCCCUCCCCAUCCUAUCUUUUUCUCCUAAAAAACUCUGUUAUCAGAAAUAUUAGUGUGUAUUCCCAGUUUUGAUUUUUUAUUUUAUUACACACGCACUCCCACACAUAGCUGUGGCAAUGAACUUCACAUAGUAUGGUUCUGUAUUUUCUCUUUGUUUUUCAAACUUACGUAAGUAUUUUACUGUUUCUCAUGGAAAAACUCACUUUUCCCAUCCAACGUUACGUUUUCUUAAGAUCUCUCUAUGUUGAUAUAAAGGAAUCUAGUUCAUUCUUUUUAAUGAAAAUAAAGUAUAUUUUAUGAAUGUAACUCAUGCUAACCAUGGCAAUCAAAGCUCCAACAAGCAUGCAUUUAGU
rnacentral:antisense_RNA from 1 species